UACGGAGGGUGCGAGCGUUAAUCGGAAUUACUGGGCGUAAAGCGCACGCAGGCGGUUUGUUAAGCUAGAUGUGAAAGCCCCGGGCUCAACCUGGGAUGGUCAUUUAGAACUGGCAGACUAGAGUCUUGGUGAGGGGAGUGGAAUUCCAGGUGUAGCGGUGAAAUGCGUAGAUAUCUGGAGGAACAUCAGUGGCGAAGGCGACUCCCUGGCCAAAGACUGACGCUCAUGUGCGAAAGUGUGGGUAGCGAACAGG
rnacentral:rRNA from 1 species